UGGGGAAUAUUGCACAAUGGGCGAAAGCCUGAUGCAGCGACGCCGCGUGAGGGAUGACGGCCUUCGGGUUGUAAACCUCUUUCAGCAGGGACGAAGCGCAAGUGACGGUACCUGCAGAAGAAGCACCGGCUAACUACGUGCCAGCAGCCGCGGUAAUACGUAGGGUGCAAGCGUUGUCCGGAAUUACUGGGCGUAAAGAGUUCGUAGGCGGUUUGUCGCGUCGUUUGUGAAAACCAGCAGCUCAACUGCUGGCUUGCAGGCGAUACGGGCAGACUUGAGUACUGCAGGGGAGACUGGAAUUCCUGGUGUAGCGGUGAAAUGCGCAGAUAUCAGGAGGAAGACCGGUGGCGAAGGCGGGUCUCUGGGCAGUAACUGACGCUGAGGAACGAAAGCGUGGGUAGCGAACAGG
rnacentral:rRNA from 1 species